UGAUGAUAAAGGGGCUCCAGUGCCCACCUC
rnacentral:piRNA from 1 species